GUCUUCACUGUUACAUGAAGUCGCUGAAUGAGCUCUGGGUUAUUUAGGACUACACAGAUGUCACGGGAGAACGUCGAUUAAUAUAAUUUAGUAAGAUGUUUGUGGCUUGUGCUUUUUGUCUGACUACUUCGCACAACCUGACAGACCCUCCUGGAUGUGCCGCGCCUGCUUUCAGGACCUGGCUUUUUAACCCCCGGCUGGAGGGAGACACUGUUUUUUGCUUUUUAAAUUCGGCUUGGGUGUUUGUUUGCAAAUAGGAUCUCACUACGUGGCUUUCAAUCCUCCUGCCUCAGCUCCACCGCACCCGGAUGCAGUUUAAAUUUGGUUCUAAACCGGGAGACAUCGUAAGUCCUGCAUCUCCGAGCCCUGCUGGCUUUCUUCUCCAGCUCGCUGCGUCUUACAGCGACCACAGCACGCAGUCUGUUUUGAGCAUCGGAGUGGCCAGUCAUCUCACAGAACCGUGGCGGGUCAGCUCUCACGUGGUUUAAAUUUAGCCGCUAGGAGCCACCCGCAGCAUCUGCUCCCGGGUCUCCUUGAAAACUUUUCGUAGAAAGCAAAAAGAUCCAGUGUCAAUCGGCGGGCAGAGCUGAUGUUCCCUGAAGGCGAAGGACGUCCUACUGGACCACCACCUGCCCCAUUUUAUUUCAUUAAAAAUAUAUGCAUGUGUA
rnacentral:lncRNA from 1 species